AUGAACGCAGCCAAGUCCGGCGGCCGCAUGCUCGCGCGGCGCGGCGGCGCCCCGUUCCCCUGCCGCGGUGCCGCGUCCGCCGUGCCCGCGGCCGCCGCAACGACGCCCCAGCAGGUCUCCCACUACCUCGCGAGCAGCCCGAGGGUGACCUGGGAGGCGCUCUCCGCCUCGUUCCCCGCCGCCGCGGCGCCCGAGGGGCACGUCGACGCCGUGCUCCUCUCCCUCGCCAGGAACCCCAGCCCCUCCUCCGCCGAGACCAUCGCCAAGAACGCGCACAGCUUCUUCCACUGGUCCGCCGCCGCCUCGUCGCCGUCCCCCCACUCGCUCCGCUCCUACUGCCUCCUCGUCCACCUCCUCGCCCGCGCGGCCCUCAUCAGCCACGCCUCCGUCCUCCUCCAGUCCGCCAUCACCAGGCACUCCUCCUCGCCCGCUUCGCACUUCCUGGACGCCUUCUUCGCGGCCUACGAGGACAGCGGCACCGCCGCGACCACCCGCGGCCUCCACCUCCUGGUGCACGCCUACGCGCAGCUCCGCCUCCCGGAGGAGGCCCUCGAGGCCUGCCGGUACCUGGCGCUCCGCCGCGUGCUCCCCUCCCUCUCCGCCUUCAACGCCGUGCUGCACGCGGCGCAGCGCACCGGCCGGUUCCGGGUCGCCUGGGAGGUGUUCGAGCUAAUGACGCUCAAGCGGGUGUACGCCAGCCAGGCCACCAUCGAGCUUGUCGUCGGCGUGCUGAGCCGGGAGGGCGCACUUGCCAGGAUGGCGGCCCUCGUGGAGAGGAUCCACGGCAAGAAGUGCGCGCCGGGCGUCGUGGCGCACGUCGCGCUAGCGCUGUGGAUCUUCGAGGAGGGGAGGACAGAGGAAGGGAUCUUGCUCCUCAGGAGGAUGCUGCAGAGGAACAUGGUGUUCGAUGGCGUUGCUUACUCGCUGAUGGUGCAUGCCCACUGUCGUACUGGUGAUCUGGAGUCGGCACAAGAGCAGUGGGACGACAUGGUCCGACGAGGCUGUCGCCUGAACCCAUUUGUGUAUACUUGCCUCAUCGGAGUACAUUGCCGUGAAGGCAAUGUCAGUGAGGCCAUGCGGUUGCUGCAAGAAAUGCUGUCCAGGGGGUUGAAGCCGUAUGAUGCUACAUACAGUCACCUAGUCACCGGGUGUUUUAGACAUGAGAGGACAGAUGAGGGGUCGGAGUACUUUGACAAGAUGCUCCAUGAAGGCCUUGUGCCGGACAUUGGGACUUGCAAUGAGAUCUUAGAGGCGAUGUGUGGUGCUGGACAGGUCGGCAAGGCGAACGAGUUGGUGACGGCAAUGAUCGACAAAGGAACUAUUCCUGGUCAGGAUACAUACCGUAAGCUCAUUGAUGGGUACGGCAAGGUUGGUGAUGCGGAAGGUGUUGUCAAGAUUUAUUAUGAGAUGGAGCACAGGGGACUUAACCAUGGCAUUGAAGUUUUUACCUCCCUGAUCAGUGGCCUGUGCCGGUGUGGGAAUCCAAAGGAAGCUGAGAAAUUUGUGUCCGUGAUGGAAAGGAAAUCGCUGGCUCCGACUAGUGACAUAGGCGAUAUGCUGAUCAGCAGUUACUGUGAGAAGGGCAACACUAAGAGCGCACUUCGGUUAUAUGACAGGAUGACUGCACAGAGCGAGAAGCUAAUCCCCUCUGCGGAUACGUUUAUGAUGUUGGUGAGAAGAGUCAUCAAAGUAAAGACAUAG
rnacentral:rRNA from 1 species